CCUACGGGAGGCAGCAGUGGGGAAUAUUGUGCAAUGGGCGAAAGCCUGACGCAGCGACGCCGCGUGAGGGAUGAAGGUCUUCGGAUCGUAAACCUCUGUCAGCAGGGAAGAACGGUCACUGUGCUAAUCAGCAGUGAAUUGACGGUACCUGCAAAGGAAGCACCGGCUAACUCCGUGCCAGCAGCCGCGGUAAUACGGAGGGUGCGAGCGUUAAUCGGAAUUACUGGGCGUAAAGCGCUCGUAGGCGGUAUGUCAAGUCAAGGGUGAAAUCCCCGCGCUCAAGGUGGGAACUGCCUUUGAUACUGGCAAACUGGAGUGUGUGAGAGGAUAGUGGAAUUCGAGGUGUAGGAGUGAAAUGCGUAGAUAUCUGGAGGAACAUCAGUGGCGAAGGCGACUAUCUGGCACAUAACUGACGCUGAGGAGCGAAAGCGUGGGUAGCAAACAGGAUUAGAUACCCCGGUAGUC
rnacentral:rRNA from 1 species